GUGCCAGCAGCCGCGGUAAUACGUAGGUGGCAAGCGUUAUCCGGAAUUAUUGGGCGUAAAGCGCGCGUAGGCGGUUUUUUAAGUCUGAUGUGAAAGCCCACGGCUCAACCGUGGAGGGUCAUUGGAAACUGGAAAACUUGAGUGCAGAAGAGGAAAGUGGAAUUCCAUGUGUAGCGGUGAAAUGCGCAGAGAUAUGGAGGAACACCAGUGGCGAAGCGACUUUCUGGUCUGUAACUGACGCUGAUGUGCGAAAGCGUGGGAUCAAACAGAUUAGAUACCCUGGUAGUCA
rnacentral:rRNA from 1 species